rnacentral:rRNA from 1 species
UACGUAGGGGGCAAGCGUUGUUCGGAAUUAGUGGGCGUAAAGGGCGCGUAGGCGGCACGGCAAGUCAGGAGUGAAAGCCCUGGGCUCAACCCGGGAACUGCUUUUGAAACUGCCGAGCUAGAGUGCGGAAGGGGCAACUGGAAUUCCCAGUGUAGCGGUGAAAUGCGUAGAUAUUGGGAAGAACACCUGAGGCGAAGGCGGGUUGCUGGGCCGACACUGACGCUGAGGCGCGAAAGCCAGGGGAGCGAACGGG